UACGUAGGGGCCGAGCGUUGUCCGGAGUUACUGGGCGUAAAGCGCGCGCAGGCGGCUUCGCGCGCCCGACGUGAAAGCCCCCGGCUUAACCGGGGAGAGUCGUUGGGGACGGCGGAGCUUGAGGGCGGGAGAGGUCGGUGGAAUUCCCGGUGUAGUGGUGAAAUGCGUAGAGAUCGGGAGGAACACCUGUGGCGAAGGCGGCCGACUGGGCCGACCCUGACGCUGAGGCGCGAAGGCGUGGGGAGCGAACGGGG
rnacentral:rRNA from 1 species